rnacentral:rRNA from 1 species
UACGUAGGGUGCAAGCGUUUGUCCGGAAUUACUGGGCGUAAAGCGUGCGUAGGCGGUUUGUUAAGUCUGUCGUGAAAGCCCCGGGCUCAACCUGGGAAUGGCGAUGGAAACUGGCGAGCUAGAGUACGGUAGAGGAGAGUGGAAUUCCCGGUGUAGCAGUGAAAUGCGUAGAGAUCGGGAGGAACAUCAGUUGCGAAGGCGGCUCUCUGGACCAGUACUGACGCUGAGGCACGAAAGCGUGGGGAGCAAACAGG